GAAUUUAUCCUGCUUCAAAGUGAUAAAUCUAAUUUAAUUUUCAAUUUCAAAGAGCCUACCAAAAUCACUAAUUUUGUCAACAUACACUCUGAAAAUCUUCUUAUUGAAUUUGUUAAGGGUGAACUCUUCAAAUUUGAUUUAACCGUCCAUUUUGCGAAAAUUUAUUUUGAGCCUCCCCUCGAAAUGGGUUCAGACUCGGGCCUUGGACUUAUUAGUUAUUAGUACUAUUAUUUGUAUUUUAUUUUCUUUUUUUUAUACAUAAAUAAUUUCCUUUUAUUGGGCUUUGGCCAUCUAUUUUGGGCUCAUAUAGUUUCAUAUAUAUUUUAUUAUUUUAUUAAUUAAAAAAUUCAAAAAGUAGAAAAUUACAAAAAUAUCCCUUAAGCUUUACACAUUUUACAAUUGGAUCUGUAGACCCAAUAGCACUAGCUGGGCAUCAUUGCCAUACCAACGUUGCCAUGGCCACUCCCUCACACCAUUUCGCUUCACCAUCCUCACCAGCCACCAACUCCCAUCGGCUAUCCCUUGGCCAUACCCUACUCACCAAUUUCACCAAAGUCCCACGCCAAGCUUUUGUUAUAAGCACAUGCAAAGAAGAAAAAUAAGGUUAGCUGCAAUUUGGGAAUUGAAAGAAGAAAAAGAGAGAACAAAUUUUUUCAGCUUCCUUCAAUAUACAACACCAUUAGCCACUAACACACCACCAACACAUUAACCCCUCUCAAUCACCAUCUCUCGGCUCCCUUGCGCCUCUACCAAAAACCCCUUGACCACCCCUAUUGCCGCCAUCAAAGCCACCAUUCUCCAGUCCCCGUAACUAACCUACCCACCAUUAGCCCUUUAAUGAGCCAUCACAGAAACACCACCUUAAACCCAACAAACCAAAUAACCAAAUCACAAAAUGCUAAUAAACCAACAGCCAAAAUAAUAUAAAAAAAUAGGCUUGUCUUCCCCAUGUAAGAUCAAGAUCGGAGCCUCGAGACCUAGUCUGGCAAUCUGAACGAUAACGUGGCAUAUUCAACUAAGGGGAACGACAUAUCAACAACAAACGAUGCUCAAACAGCUGUAGACGAUGACUUCAAGGUUAGAAAGUAAAGACGACGAUAAAAAAGAAAAAGAAGCAAGAGGCUGGGUAGCAUGCACGUUGGCCAAAGGUGAGGUCACUAAAAGCAGUGGAUCGGUUCAUGAUGUGCGACGAUCUGAAACAGUGAGGAAAAUAGUAGAAUAGAGAAUAAGAAUAAGAAGAAGAGAGAAACAAGGGGAGAAAGUUUAUCGCAUAUGGUUGUUUGCAUUUUCUCGUGCUUACACAGCAAAUAAAAAGAGAAAAACAAAUGGAA
rnacentral:lncRNA from 1 species